AGAAUUGUAACACCCCAAAACCCAAGUCCAAAAACUUUUGUGUGGACAGGCCCGCUCUGCGGCCCAUUUGGAUUAAAAACCCUAGGGUUCCUUGCUUCCCCUAUAAAAGCAAGCCUCCACCCUUAGCCUUCCAUCACAAAUUUAGAAGCGAAGCCCUGCAGAGAAGUCCCGGAGAUCAGAAACCCUAGCCGUCGUCUCCUUCCUUCUCUCUCCCUGCGCCGCCUCUCCUCUCUUUCUCUCUCUUCGCCGCGGCUCUUCUCUCUCUCUCCUCG
rnacentral:lncRNA from 1 species